GGAAAAGAAACCAACAGGGAUUACCUCAGUAACGGCGAGUGAAGCGGUAAAAGCUCAAAUUUGAAAUCUGGCUCUUUCAGAGUCCGAGUUGUAAUUUGUAGAAGAUGCUUCGGGUGUGGUUCCGGUCUAAGUUCCUUGGAACAGGACGUCAUAGAGGGUGAGAAUCCCGUAUGUGACUGGAUACCUAUGCUCAUGUGAAGCUCUUUCGACGAGUCGAGUUGUUUGGGAAUGCAGCUCAAAAUGGGUGGUAUAUUUCAUCUAAAGCUAAAUAUUGGCCAGAGACCGAUAGCGCACAAGUAGAGUGAUCGAAAGAUGAAAAGCACUUUGGAAAGAGAGUUAAACAGUACGUGAAAUUGUUGAAAGGGAAGCGCUUGCAAUCAGACUUGCACUUGGUGUUCAUCAGGGUUUCGUGCCCUGUGUACUUCAUCAAGUUCAGGCCAGCAUCAGUUUGAGUGGUUAGAUAAAGGCUUGGAGAAUGUGGCCCUCUUCGGGGGGUGUUAUAGCUCCAGGUGCAAUGUAGCCUACUUGGACUGAGGACCGCGCUUCGGC
rnacentral:rRNA from 1 species